GAUGUGGUGAAAACAGGAAAGAGGGCAGAAGUUAGAGAUUCCUUAUGUUUGGCUUAUAGUGAGUACUAGGUUGAUGAUUUUUGACUUUGUCUUCUUGAUUGAUGGUUCAUCAAACACCAGCAAUAAGGAGCAAGAGAGAACAACAUAGUUGAAAGGGAAACAAUGGAAAGACAAGGGCACGUGAUGCAGUAAAGUAUGUAAGCGGAGAGGACGUGUACAGGAAUCACCCUAGCAAGAUACAGGCUGCAGAGGGGACAUCCAUGAAGAUAAGCAACUUUGACAAAGGGCAAAUGAUUAUUAACGCAGAGCCUGUGAACGAGUAUCUUGAAGGUGUCAAAGCCGGUUGAAUGUCAACAUGCUACUGUGUGAGCAUCUAGGGAAAGAGGUAAAGACAGCUGUGGAGGUAUGGCUGUAGAGAGUGCUAUCAAAACUUUAAUAAAAGUCUUAAAAGUGAAUGGUUAUCUGAAACAAGACAUCAAAACAACAUGAAUAAAGCAGCGAGUGUCAUUAGAAUAUUAUUUUCCAUGAAUGAAAGACAUGCUAAAUUACAAUACCCAAAGGAAAUAACGUAUCACGGAGUGAGGUUAGGGAAUGCCAAAUGAACAUAGCACAUAAGGAAGAAGACAGCCACCACAUUGACAAGUGGAACAUGUGAAGGAUAAAAUCAAAGACCAGGUAGAACCCCUGGCAUACCUUUUCAACAAAUGCUUCAAGAACAACUCUGUCCCAGAACAAUGAAGGGAGACACAACUGUGUUCUGCAAAGGCAGGAAAGUUGACCCAAACUCCUCUAUAGGAAUUACUCUGGUGAGUGUCAUGUUUAAACUCUUCUCUAAACUCCUAAUGACAGUGCAUUGAUACUUGUGUUAGAGCUCAGCUGUGACAUAUAGAAUGCAACUAAUAUGGAUAUACCUGAGGGUGAAAAACAUCAAGAAACCAGAUAAUGUUAAUUUCACAAGAAAUAGCUACACCUAUGUAGUGUGUAGGAAUCUUUCAUCAUAGAAGAUACUGGACAAUGGUUCAAUUUUCCAGAGAGGCAAGCAUGCAAAACAGACCUCAAGGAGGGACAGAACAAUGCAAGGGAGGUAUUGAAGGAAACUGUGGAAACAAAUGCGAGGAAUUCAGGUACCUGGAAAGGACCGAACUUCCAACUCUGCCACCUGUGCACACAUUUUUCAACCAAUGGUUUCCACUGGAAGAUCUCCCAGAAAGGGAUCAUAUAAUGAGUACAUGGAGGACUGCAUCUGUAAACUACACAAACUAUACCCCAGAUAGCAUUAAGUGAAGUUUGAAAAUGGAACUCUGCCUCUAUGCACAUUAACAAAAGACUGAUGAAAACAUAACUAUAAUGUAACUGUAUGUGCACAACUUGUUUAAUAAAGUUAUUAUUUUAAUUGGCA